CCUACGAGAGGCAGCAGUGGGGAAUAUUGGGCAAUGGGCGCAAGCCUGACCCAGCAACGCCGCGUGAAGGAAGAAGGCUCUCGGGUUGUAAACUUCUUUUAUCAGGGACGAAGCAAGUGACGGUACCUGAUGAAUAAGCCACGGCUAACUACGUGCCAGCAGCCGCGGCAAUACGGAGGUGGCAAGCGUUAUCCGGAUGUACUGGGUGUAAAGGGCGUGUAGGCGGGAAAGCAAGUCAGAUGGGAAAACCAUGGGCUCAACCUGUGGCGUGCAUUUGAAACUGUCUUUCUUGAGUACUGGAGAGGCAGACGGAAUUCGUAGUGUAGCGGUGAAAUGCGUAGAUAUUAGGAGGAACACC
rnacentral:rRNA from 1 species